AUUGAACGCUGGCGGCAGGCCUAACACAUGCAAGUCGAACGAGUGGCGGACGGGUGAGUAAUGUCUGGGAAACUGCCUGAUGGAGGGGGAUAACUACUGGAAACGGUAGCUAAUACCGCAUACCAUCAGAUUUGCCUAGAUGGGAUUGGCUAGUUGGUGGGGUAACGGCUCACCAAGGCGACGAUCCCUAUCUGGUCCGGGAGGAUGACCAGCCAACCUGGAACUGAGACACGGUCCAGACUCCUACGGGAGGCAGCAGUGGGGAAUAUUGCACAAUGGGCGCAAGCCUGAUGCAGCCAUGCCGGGUGUAUGAAGAAGGCCUUCGGGUUGUAAAGUACUUUCAGCGGGGAGGCGUUACCCGCAGAAGAAGCACCGGCUAACUCCGUGCCAGCCGCCGCGGUAAUUC
rnacentral:rRNA from 1 species